AUCACAUUCAAUAAAAGGUGGCGGUAAACUAGCACUUAAAGGAAAUAACCUUCAGAGGUCUUCUACCUGUAGCUCAUAAGAUGGAAAAAACAAUUGUGUCAGAAAGGAAACGCCUUGAAACAUAAAAGAGGGGAGUCAUUGGCGGUAAGCAAUAGAAACAAAAAAGAAAGUGUCUUUUGCCUGUCUACUAGUGUUUCACACUCCAGCGCAGAUACGGGACUGUUUGUUCAGACACACCCCGACCCUCCACACCAAGGAAGAAACAAAUACAUGCAUAUAUG
rnacentral:misc_RNA from 1 species